AUUAAUUUGAGAGUUUGAUCCUGGCUCAGGACGAACGCUGGCGGCGUGCCUAAUACAUGCAAGUCGAACGAACUCUGGUAUUGAUUGGUGCUUGCAUCAUGAUUUACAUUUGAGUGAGUGGC
rnacentral:rRNA from 1 species